CUUGCCAGGGAACUACGAGCCCCAGCUUAAAACCCAAAGGACUUGGCGGUGCUUUAGACCCCCCUAGAGGAGCCUGUUCUAGAACCGAUAACCCCCGUUGAACCUCACCCUCUCUUGUUAAUCCCGCCUAUAUACCGCCGUCGUCAGCCUACCCUGUGAAGGACUAACAGUGGGCUUAAUUGGCACAACCUAAAACGUCAGGUCGAGGUGUAGCGUACGAGAGGGGAAGAAAUGGGCUACAUUCACUGACCCAGUGUACACGAACAAUGUCUUGAAACAGACAUUUGAAGGAGGAUUUAGCAGUAAGCAGAGAAUAGAGUGCUCUGCUGAAACUGGCCCUGAAGCGCGCACACACCGCCCGUCACUCUCCCCAAAAAUAAAGCCAGACAUAACUAAAAGCCACACAAAAUAAAGGGGAGGCAAGUCGUAACAUGGUAAGUGUACCGGAAGGUGCACUUGGAAAAAU
rnacentral:rRNA from 1 species